GGGAUCAUGUGUUUAUUAGGAUCCCCAUUAGCUGUUGUCAUCGAAUGAGAUGUGAAGUAGCCAAUAGGUCUUCAACUGUUUUCAUGUUGCUAUGGAAGUAGCCAAUAGGUCUUCAACUGUUUUCAUGUUGCUAUGGAAGUAGCCAAUAGGUCUUCAACUGUUUUCAUGUUGCUAUGGAAGUAGCCAAUAGGUCUUCAACUGUUUUCAUGUUGCUAUGGAAGUAGCCAAUAGGUCUUCAACUGUUUUCAUGUUGCUAUGGAAGUAGCCAAUAGGUCUUCAACUGUUUUCAUGUUGCUAUGGAAGUAGCCAAUAGGUCUUCAACUGUUUUCAUGUUGCUAUGGAAGUAGCCAAUAGGUCUUCAACUGUUUUCAUGUUGCUAUGGA